UUGAUUAUGUAUAUCUUUGGGAAUAAGAAAUUCCACAAUGCUAUGAAAACUUUAGCAAAUCUUUGGCCAUCUAUCGUUCAAUUAUAAAUCAGUUUAGUGGUAAAAAAAAAUUAGACGGAACAUUACAUAAAUUAUUUGUCAUCCAUUUCCUAAUUUGUUGGUUUUAGAUGCAUUUGUUGAAAAGAUAUUUCAAAUUAUCUGUCAAAGUAAUUCUUGUGACGGUUUGCUACUAACUUUCAGGUCCAAUACCAUCCAUCAUUGGAAAUCUAUCAAAUCUGCAGUGGCUAAAUCUCUUUGACAACGAGUUAAAUGGUCCAAUACCAUCCACCAUUGGGAAUCUAUCAAAUUUGUGGAACCUAGACCUCUCUUCCAACAAAUUAAAUGGUCCAAUACCAUCCACCAUUGGGAAUCUAUCAAAUUUGGAGUAUUUAUUGCUCUCUUCCAACAAAUUAAAUGGUGAGCUUCCAUUUUGCAUCUGCAACUUGACUUCCCUUCAGUUUCUUCUACUCUCAAAUAACAGUUUGGAAGGGACAAUUCCACAAUGCUUUCGAAACUUGAGCAAAUCGUUGUCCAUAUUUCAUUUAAAUGCAAAUAACUUUAGUGGCCCCAUUCCAUCAAUAUUUAUCAAAGGGUGUAGUCUUCAGUCCAUCAAUUUGAGUGGUAAUAAAUUGCAAGGAAGAUUACCGAAAUCCUUAAUCAGUUGCAAAAGUCUGAAGGGUCUAGACGUUGGAAAUAAUAGAAUACAAGAUGAAUUUCCGUUUUGGAUGGAAGGUCUUCCUGACCUUCGAGUGCUCGUCUUGAAGUCUAACAAGUUUGAUGGUAACAUGUCGUUGGCUUCACGAAGCAACCUUCCAUUUCCUAAGUUGCAAGUUUUAGAUAUAUCUGACAAUGAAUUUGUGGGGUCUUUACCUCAAAAAUAUUUCAAGAAUUUCAGAGCAAUGAUGGAUGUGAAGGAAAAUAAGACAGAUCUAAUUACAAGUAGUGAUGAUGACUCUUUUCUAACGUUUGUGGAGAUGAGAAUUACCUUGAAAGGUUUGGAUCAGUUAUUGAAGAGAUUGUUGGAAGACUUUACAAUCAUUGACUUAUCCUCCAAUAAAUUCUCUGGGACUAUUCCACGUUUCAUAGGUAAUCUUAAUUCUUUGAGAUACUUGAAUUUGUCCCACAAUAAUCUCAUGGGACACAUACCUGCAUCUCUUGGAAAUAUAAGUGUG